UUUAUAGAUUGAGCCAUGUUGAGUGUGGUAAUUAGAGAAUGAAUGCAGAUGAUGAAUAAAGAAAGGUAUGAUGAGUUGGUGUGAGUGUAGGAGUAAGAUGUAGUGGAUGAAGAGUGAGAAUGAGAAGGAAAAAAUAACAGUGAGAAGUGCUUCAAAGCAAGGAUAUAUGAGUGGCGGUGAGAACACUUUUCCUUGAAGAUGUAGAUAUGUGGAUUGUUUGCUUCCUCCUUUUCCUCAGUGAGAGCCUGUAAAAGUCUCAGCUCUAAGCAAUCUCUUGUCAUUCAUUCCUCUUUCUCAUAAAGCUACACUACAGCAUCAGAACAAGACAACUUCCAUCCCUCCAAAAUCCCACCACCCUUUUCAUUAUUGUAUUCUUAUAAUGACCUGUCUUUCAUCUUUAUUAUUUACUCACCUCUUUUCUUUAUUUUAACUCUCUCUCUCUCUUCUUCCUUCUACUUCCCUUCUCUGUCCCCUCUUUUCCAUUUAUUAUUUAGUGCUGUACUGAUUGGGAACUUGAGUGCUUGCAGGCCUUUCUUUGCUUCUUGAACCUUGAGAAAGCUCUUCAUAGCUAGACACACACAACAUGGACCCUGCUAUAGGAAUUCAUCACACUCACUCAUAAAACUAUGUAUAUAUAGGUCUAUAUGCAAGAUGGUUGGAAGAACCAACCUAACUUGUAUCUCUCAAUAUAUAUCUUCAAUUUGUUUUUCAUUACCUUUCUUCUCUUAUGUACAUCAUUCCUGUUUCGAGCUUUUAUUUCUUGUGAGGCCUGCUAUUUCAAUUUCUUGAGCUUGCUAAUGAUCUUGUGAGAAACGGACUCGUUAUUGAAGAAGGAAAAGAGGGUGUCUGGAAUGAAGUUUGAUCCGAAAUCAUUGUCUCAGUGAUGGAAAGGGGGUGUUUGGAAUGAAGUUUGAUCCAAGAUCAUCACAUAUAUCUUCAAUUUCCCUUGUGUUUGCUUCUUGAUUUACCUUCAUAAAUUUGUUUAUCAUCAUAUGCAUGGGAUGGGACUGAUCUCGGACCAGGCUUCAUUCUUCACACCUACCUUUCCUUGUAGAAGCAAUCAACCACAACAAGACAAAGGUAAUCCCUUUUUUCCUUCCAAAUGAUUUGUCUAUCUAUCAGAUUUAAGUAGUUUGCUGGUUUCCAUGUCCUUUUAUGUUCUACCAACCAAAAAUAUUUUAGGCAGUUUCUUUUUCGUUUGUUAUCAUUAUUGCUUGUCUUUGGUAGUGUGCUUUUGAAAGAAGAUGGAGAACUUAGCAUCAACUGUUUUCAAUAUGCUACCUAAUAUAGCUAAAUCUGUGUGGUCUAGUUAAAUUGAUCCGAGUCUUAUCAGAUGUAAGCCGCAAACAACACUAUAUAUGAUCUCAAUCUACAGAAACUAUGAGCACACCAUAUUCCAUGUUUUGCACAGAAAAAUAUGAAAUGCUAAAUGUAAACAUAAUUAAACAUUAGUUGAUUGAUACUUCUCCCACGCCCAACGCGCCGUCAUCUUUGUCCUUGCUGCUUUCACACACCUAUUCUAAGAAACCCUAGCCGAGUCUUGUGACUUUCUAGGACACAUUCAUCUUUUUUAUCAAUGAAACUUUCAUAUGAUGAAUGAUACAUCAUAAAGGUUGACACCCAUUUUGGGGAAUUAUUGGCACCACCCUGCUGCUGAAACAAGACAAUAAGACAAUGAGUUUACUCAGAUAUUCCCUCCAUAGUUCAAUACUGCCCCUGCUUUUCCCCCAUUAACUGUACCCACAAAAAGGGUUAAUCACUGCAUACAUUUUACAUACUUAUUCUGCAUAUCUUUUGUAUAUGUAUGUGCAUGCCUUAACAUGUAGAUCAAGAUAUAAAGUUAACAUCACACAUACAUACACAUUGUUAUUUCUUCUUACAUUACUCUAUCUUAAUUCACAAAUAACCAUUGUUCCAGAGUGUUACAAGGAACUCAACAUAGUUAGAAGCAUUGGAUGUAUAUGUACAUGUGUGUGUGUAUAUAUAUAUAUAUGCAGAACUCAUUCAUGUAUCACAUAGGGGUAGGGUACAAGAAUCUCGCUGUCUUCUUGCUCUACGUUUGUGAGCGGUAUUCAGAUUCCUUGGAAUAUAUCAUACAACAUUUUGGUUUUUUUUAAAAGCAUAUGUAUAAUAUGUUGGAUUUAUUUUAUAGGAAAUGUCAGGAAGUUGAAUGCAUGCUUGAUAUGGAUAAAUUAAUAUUUUACUGACUUCUAUGAUAUGUUUUUUUUUGUUAAUUUGGUAUGUAUGGAACAACAUUAAAACUUGUUCUUUAAGCGCGUGGUAAAAGCUAGUAUGCCACGUGACAAAGAACUAUAUCAUUGCAAAGUUAUGGCGUGAAGUGAGUUAAAAACUGAAGUCACUUUUAACCUACACCACAUGACAUUGUGAUGUACACAGUUAUUGAAUAGCUUAUGGUUGAACCUAACAUAUCUUUCUUUUC